rnacentral:rRNA from 1 species
AAGUCGUAACAAGGUUUCCGUAGGUGAACCUGCGGAAGGAUCAUUAACCAUCCAAAACCGACUGUGGAUGCGGCCUCCAGCUUGCUGGGCGGUUUUACGCGCCACAUGUUCGAAUCCUUUUUCUACGAGCACCAUUUGUUCUCCUUCGGUGGGGUAACCUGCCGUUGGAACCAUCAAAACUCUUUUGCAUCUAGCAUUACCUGUUCUGAUAAAAACAAUCGUUAAAACUUUCAACAAUGGAUCUCUUGGCUCUGGCAUCGAUGAAGAACGCAGCGAAAUGCGAUAAGUAGUGUGAAUUGCAGAAUUCAGUGAAUCAUCGAAUCUUUGAACGCACAUUGCGCCCCUUGGUAUUCCAUGGGGCAUGCCUGUUCGAGCGUCAUCUACACCCUCAAGCUCUGCUUGGUGUUGGGCGUCUGUCCCGCCUUUGUGCGUGGACUCGCCCCAAAUUCAUUGGCAGCGGUCUUUGCCUCCUCUCGCGCAGCACAUUGCGUUUCUUGAGGUGCUUGCGAAUCGCGUCCACGAAGCAUUAUUACCGUCUUUGACCUCGGAUCAGGUAGGGAUACCCGCUGAACUUAA